rnacentral:rRNA from 1 species
GAUGAACGCUGGCGGCGUGCCUAAUACAUGCAAGUCGAGCGAACGGACGAGAAGCUUGCUUCUCUGAUGUUAGCGGCGGACGGGUGAGUAACACGUGGAUAACCUACCUAUAAGACUGGGAUAACUUCGGGAAACCGGAGCUAAUACCGGAUAAUAUUUUGAACCGCAUGGUUCAAAAGUGAAAGACGGUCUUGCUGUCACUUAUAGAUGGAUCCGCGCUGCAUUAGCUAGUUGGUAAGGUAACGGCUUACCAAGGCAACGAUGCAUAGCCGACCUGAGAGGGUGAUCGGCCACACUGGAACUGAGACACGGUCCAGACUCCUACGGGAGGCAGCAGUAGGGAAUCUUCCGCAAUGGGCGAAAGCCUGACGGAGCAACGCCGCGUGAGUGAUGAAGGUCUUCGGAUCGUAAAACUCUGUUAUUAGGGAAGAACAUAUGUGUAAGUAACUGUGCACAUCUUGACGGUACCUAAUCAGAAAGCCACGGCUAACUACGUGCCAGCAGCCGCGGUAAUACGUAGGUGGCAAGCGUUAUCCGGAAUUAUUGGGCGUNAAGCGCGCGUAGGCGGUUUUUUAAGUCUGAUGUGAAAGCCCACGGCUCAACCGUGGAGGGUCAUUGGAAACUGGAAAACUUGAGUGCAGAAGAGGAAAGUGGAAUUCCAUGUGUAGCGGUGAAAUGCGCAGAGAUAUGGAGGAACACCAGUGGCGAAGGCGACUUUCUGGUCUGUAACUGACGCUGAUGUGCGAAAGCGUGGGGAUCAAACAGGAUUAGAUACCCUGGUAGUCCACGCCGUAAACGAUGAGUGCUAAGUGUUAGGGGGUUUCCGCCCCUUAGUGCUGCAGCUAACGCAUUAAGCACUCCGCCUGGGGAGUACGACCGCAAGGUUGAAACUCAAAGGAAUUGACGGGGACCCGCACAAGCGGUGGAGCAUGUGGUUUAAUUCGAAGCAACGCGAAGAACCUUACCAAAUCUUGACAUCCUUUGACAACUCUAGAGAUAGAGCUUUCCCCUUCGGGGGACAAAGUGACAGGUGGUGCAUGGUUGUCGUCAGCUCGUGUCGUGAGAUGUCGGGUUAAGUCCCGCAACGAGCGCAACCCUUAAGCUUAGUUGCCAUCAUUAAGUUGGGCACUCUAAGUUGACUGCCGGUGACAAACCGGAGGAAGGUGGGGAUGACGUCAAAUCAUCAUGCCCCUUAUGAUUUGGGCUACACACGUGCUACAAUGGACAAUACAAAGGGCAGCGAAACCGUGAGGUCAAGCAAAUCCCAUAAAGUUGUUCUCAGUUCGGAUUGUAGUCUGCAACUCGACUACAUGAAGCUGGAAUCGCUAGUAAUCGUAGAUCAGCAUGCUACGGUGAAUACGUUCCCGGGUCU